GACAGAGGGUGCAAACGUUGUUCGGAAUUACUGGGCGUAAAGCGCGUGUAGGCAGCUCGGAAAGUCGGGUGUGAAAGCCCUGGGCUCAACCUAGGAAGUGCACUCGAAACUUCCGAGCUGGAGUGCUGGAGAGGAAGGCGGAAUUCUCGGUGUAGAGGUGAAAUUCGUAGAUAUCGAGAGGAACACCGGUGGCGAAGGCGGCCUUCUGGACAGUAACUGACGCUGGAGACGCGAAAGCGUGGGGAGCAAACAGG
rnacentral:rRNA from 1 species